rnacentral:rRNA from 1 species
UACGUAGGGAGCAAGCGUUGUCCGGAAUCAUUGGGCGUAAAGCGCGCGUAGGCGGCCCGAUAAGUCCGCUGUAAAAGUCAAACGGCUCAACUGUUGAAAGCCGGUGGAUACUGUCGGGCUAGAGUACGGAAGAGGCAAGUGGAAUUCCUGGUGUAGCGGUGGAAUGCGCAGAUAUCAGGAGGAACACCCAUAGCGAAGGCAGCUUGCUGGGACGUUACUGACGCUAAGGCGCGAAAGCGUGGGGAGCGAACAGG